UGCGUAGGCGGGCUAAUAAGUCAGUGGUGAAAUCUCUCGGCUCAACCGGGAAACUGCCAUUGAUACUGUUAGUCUUGAGUUCGGUUGAGGUAGGCGGAAUGUGUAAUGUAGCGGUGAAAUGCUUAGAUAUUACACAGAACACCAAUUGCGUAGGCAGCUUACUCGACCGACACUGACGCUGAGGCACGAAAGCGUGGGGAGCGAACAGGAUUAGUUACCCUGGUAGUCC
rnacentral:rRNA from 1 species